UUUAAUUAGGGCUGAACCCGUUCUUCAUCUCUGCCGUACAAGAGCGAUAUAUGGCUUCGAAAGCGUUCUUUCAUCUUCAUCCUAAAAAUCUGAAAGGCAACGGUUCAUCUUCUUAAAGUCGUUGCUUAAAUCCAUCGCCCACGAUCUCUCUUCAAUUCAAUCUUUAAUCUUGAGAGGCGGUGGAAUUGUGACUAUAAAAAGGUAGGCUUUCUUGCUAUGAGAAUGAUCUCCGCAUUCGUUUUCACAAACCACUAAUCUUAUUUUGAGUAGAAUGGCUAAUGUUACAGUCUUCCUUUUUUUAUUUGAAAACCGGCCGCUGCUCCACUAUUCAAGUGUGGUUUCUCCGUUAUUGGGAGGCUAGGAACGUCCGACGCGGUGGCGAACUAAUGGGAGUCGAUAUGAUGCUAUUUGAUUCCCAGGCAACCAUGAAUAUGUAUUCGUUAUUGAUUUGGAGACAGAGCAUGCACUGCUGUUAAGCUUACGGACCCAUAUAUGUUGUGCAGGAAGCAGAGAGCUUAUGGUGGCCAAAGCUGGGAGCAGCGACCGUCCUGCCAUUUCAGGCUUCAAUAUGCAGCCCACCUUUCCUUCCUUCUGAGCUACGCAGAGAAACUAUGGUACACAACUAAUUAGAUUUUAGUAGUAGUCUAAGAUUGAUCAGUAUUUGAACCCUUUUUAUGAACGCAUGGUGAUCAUCCAUGUGUCAUGCGAAGAAGCUUUACAGAAUACAAGGCUAUGUUUCCUGCAUUCGAUUUUUCAAUUAUUGUCAGUUACAAUGAUAUUUUGUAGAAGCCGUGUCCAAGAGAGACCUCGGACUAAGUUGCAGCUAUAGGUGUAGAGUACAUUAACUGGUGUUUUGAGCUCUUUCGGGGAGAAUUGUGUUGAUGACAUAAAGAAAGAGUUGUCUAUAUAGUGAGACACCUAACGUACAAACUUGACGAAAUGUUUAACUGUUUACUAAUGAAACUAUGUAAGAUUUUUCAGCUUCAAACAAAUUAUGGUAGAGUAGAUGAUCAAUAUCAUAGUCUCUAAGACACAUGCAUUGUAUAAAAAGUUUUCUUUUUUUAAUUUGAUACUUUUCCACGA